GUGGGGAAUAUUGGACAAUGGGCGCAAGCCUGAUCCAGCAAUGCCGCGUGGGUGAAGAAGGUCUUCGGAUCGUAAAGCCCUUUCGACAGGGACGAUGAUGACGGUACCUGUAGAAGAAGCCCCGGCUAACUUCGUGCCAGCAGCCGCGGUAAUACGAAGGGGGCUAGCGUUACUCGGAAUUACUGGGCGUAAAGGGCGCGUAGGCGGCUCUGUUAGUCAGGCGUGAAAUUCCUGGGCUUAACCUGGGGACUGCGCUUGAUACUGCAGGGCUUGAGGCCGAGAGAGGGUGGUGGAAUUCCCAGUGUAGAGGUGAAAGUCGUAGAUAUUGGGAAGAACACCGGUGGCGAAGGCGACCACCUGGCUCGGUUCUGACGCUGAGGCGCGACAGCGUGGGGAGCAAACAGGAUUAGAAACCCGUGUAGUCC
rnacentral:rRNA from 1 species